UGGGGAAUCUUGGUCAAUGGGCGCAAGCCUGAACCAGCGACGCCGCGUGAGUGAUGAAGGCCUUCGGGUUGUAAAGCUCUGUGGGGAGGGACGAAAGAGCACGUUCUAACAGGACGUGCGUUGACGGUACCUCCUUAGCAAGCACCGGCUAACUCUGUGCCAGCAGCCGCGGUAAGACAGAGGGUGCAAACGUUGCUCGGAAUCACUGGGCGUAAAGGGCGUGUAGGCGGACUUGCAAGUCAGGCGUGAAAUCCCUGGGCUCAACCCAGGAAUUGCACUUGAAACUGCAAGCCUUGAGUGUCGGAGAGGAAAGUGGAAUUCCUGGUGUAGAGGUGAAAUUCGUAGAUAUCAGGAGGAACACCGGUGGCGAAGGCGGCUUUCUGGACGACAACUGACGCUGAGACGCGAAAGCGUGGGGAGCAAA
rnacentral:rRNA from 1 species